AAAGAACCCCGGCGAGGGGAGUGAAAAAGAACCUGAAACCGUGUACGUACAAGCAGUGGGAGCACAGAGCAAUCUGUGUGACUGCGUACCUUUUGUAUAAUGGGUCAGCGACUUAUAUUCUGUAGCAAGGUUAACCGAAUAGGGGAGCCGAAGGGAAACCGAGUCUUAACUGGGCGUUAAGUUGCAGGGUAUAGACCCGAAACCCGGUGAUCUAGCCAUGGGCAGGUUGAAGGUUGGGUAACACUAACUGGAGGACCGAACCGACUAAUGUUGAAAAAUUAGCGGAUGACUUGUGGCUGGGGGUGAAAGGCCAAUCAAACCGGGAGAUAGCUGGUUCUCCCCGAAAGCUAUUUAGGUAGCGCCUCGUGAAUUCAUCUCCGGGGGUAGAGCACUGUUUCGGCAAGGGGGUCAUCCCGACUUACCAACCCGAUGCAAACUGCGAAUACCGGAGAAUGUUAUCACGGGAGACACACGGCGGGUGCUAACGUCCGUCGUGAAGAGGGAAACAACCCAGACCGCCAGCUAAGGUCCCAAAGUCAUGGUUAAGUGGGAAACGAUGUGGGAAGGCCCAGACAGCCAGGAUGUUGGCUUAGAAGCAGCCAUCAUUUAAAGAAAGCGUAAUAGCUCACUGGUCGAGUCGGCCUGCGCGGAAGAUGUAACGGGGCUAAACCAUGCAC
rnacentral:rRNA from 1 species